UGAACGCUGGCGGCGUGCCUACCACAUGCAAGUCGCGCGGCAGCGAGGGGUGCUUGCACCCUGUCGGCGAGCGGCGGACGGCUGAGUAACGCGUGGGAACGUGCCCCAAAGUGAGGAAUAACUGCCCGAAAGGGUAGCUAAUACCGCAUAUUAUCUUCGGAUCAAAGGAUUUAUCCGCUUUGGGAGCGGCUCGCGUCGGAUUAGGUAGUUGGUGAGGUAAUGGCUCACCAAGCCGACGAUCCGUAGCUGGUCUGAGAGGAUGACCAGCCAGACUGGAACUGAGACACGGUCCAGACUCCUACGGGAGGCAGCAGUGAGGAAUCUUCCACAAUGGGCGAAAGCCUGAUGGAGCAACGCCGCGUGCAGGACGAAGGCCUUCGGGUUGUAAACUGCUUUUAUAAGUGAGGAAUAUGACGGUAACUUAUGAAUAAGGAGCGGCUAACUACGUG
rnacentral:rRNA from 1 species